CGAACGCUGGCGGCGUGCUUAACACAUGCAAGUCAAGGAGAAAGUCUCGCUUGCGGGACGAUUAAACUGGCGCACGGGUGAGGAAUAUAUAAGCAAUCUACCUAUAGGUUCGGAAUAACGUCGAGAAAUCGGCGCUAAUACCGUAUAAUGCAGCGGCAUCGCAUGAUGAUGUUGUUAAAGUUCUUGAAACGCCUAUGGAUGAGCUUGUAACUGAUUAGCUUGUUGGUGGGGUAAAGGCUCACCAAGGCUACGAUCAGUAGCUGGUCUGAGAGGAUGAUCAGCCACAUUGGAACUGAGACACGGUCCAGACUCCUACGGGAGGCAGCAGUGAGGAAUAUUGGGCAAUGGGCGAAAGCCUGACCCAGCAACGCCGCGUGGAGGAUGAAUGUCGUAAGAUUGUAAACUCCUUUUAGAGGGGACGAAAAAACAGGUUGAUAGCCUGAAUUGACGGUACCUUCAGAAUAAGCCCCGGCUAACUAC
rnacentral:rRNA from 1 species